rnacentral:lncRNA from 1 species
AGCAGUGGUGACAGAAUCCCCUUGAAGUAUUCCUCCACUGAUGCUAAUUUUCCCAAUUUCUCCAUCACAGGCCAUUGAGAGAGUUUUCAAUUUUUCCAUGUUUUUCUUGUGGAACUUAUUUUUACUAAUCUCCCCACCAAAAAAUUAGGCAGAUGUUAAACCAACUGUGUGGCAAUGAUUCAAAUGCCUUUUUAUAGUCUAUACAGGCCAUGUUAAGAUUUGUUUUUCAUCUUUUUUGCAUUCUUCAGUAUCAUUUUAUCAAUAAGCAGCUAAUCUUUUGUGCUUCUUGGCUUUUUCAAGUUUCCUUUGUAUUCUGUUGUUGUUCCUGUUCCUGUUCCUGUUCCUGUUCCUGUUCCUGUUCCUGUUCCUGUUCCUGUUCCUGUUCCUGUUCCUGUUCCUGUUCCUGUUCCUGUUCCUGUUCCUGUUCCUGUUCCUGUUCCUGUUCCUGUUCCUGUUCCUGUUCCUGUUCCUGUUCCUGUUCCUGUUCCUGUUCCUGUUCCUGUUCCUGUUCCUGUUCCUGUUCCUGUUCCUGUUCCUGUUCCUGUUCCUGUUGUUGUUCCUCUUGUUGUUGCUGUUGCUGUUGCUGUUGCUGUUGCUGUUGCUGUUGUUGUUGUUGUUGUUGUUGUUGUUAUCUAUUUCUAUACCACCCACCUGCAGCUUCGCAAGCCCAGGAAACCGAAAACCGCCCCAACCUCCGUGCCGGGUGCCGGCUUCCUGGGCGUCCAAAUCCCCUCCACUGCCCUCUGCCUCCAGUUCCUGUUGCCCUCUGCCUGCUGUCCCCACGGGGACAGGAGGCAGAGGGCAGCGGGGACAGGAGGGAGAGGGCAGUGGGUGCAGCUUUGGAAGCCAGGGAAGCCAAAAGCCGCCCUGACCGCCGCGCCACCGCCCCAACCUCCGUGCCGGGUGCCGGCUUCCUGGGCGUCCAAAUCCCCUCCACUGCCCUCUGCCUCCAGUUCCUGUUGCCCUCUGCCUGCUGUCCCCACGGGGACAGGAGGCAGAGGGCAGCGGGGACAGGAGGGAGAGGGCAGUGGGUGCAGCUUUGGAAGCCAGGGAAGCCAAAAGCCGCCCUGACCGCCGCGCCAGUGCCGGCUUCCCGGGUGUCCAAACCCCCUUGGCUGCCCUCUGCCUCUUGCAGGGACAGGAGACAGAGGGCAACAUGGACGGGAGGCAUAGGGCAGCGGAGGGGGGUUGGACGCCCGCAUAGGGCAGCGGAGGGGGUUUGGACGCCCAGGAAGCCAGCACCCGGCACAGAGGUCAGGGCGGUGUUGGAAGCUUGGGAAGCUGAGCCUCCCUUUUCCUAAAUGUUGGGGCGAAGAAGCAGC